UAGUCAGAAUUAUGAAUUGCCUACCGUGGGACUCGAUCCCACGACCACAAGGUUAAGAGCCUUGCGCUCUUACCAACUAAGCUGGACGGGCAAUUCAAAGACAAACAAUUAGGAGUUGAUGCGUUCAAAUACAUUGCUAGGCUUGCCACCCAUACAAACUUGGCAGCAUGCGGUUUCCAGCACUCAAAAUCCCGUGUCCGCUCUUUUCCAAGCCUGGUAUGUAGCCAUAGCGAUGAUAUUAAACUGCAACAUAAGUCUACUUUGAUGCCAAAUUCUUGCCGAGAGAGUUUUUAUGUUUUCGUAAAGAAUGUUGUUCGCUCCAUUAUGGUUGAGAAGGGUCAGGCUAGAUCAUCAUAAGUUCAUCACAACCUAGACAUAUGUUACAUGCAUAUCUAAAUGGGAUAUAUUGUUUAUCGUCUUACCACAAAAGCCGAUUCUGCUCUCAUCGGGCUGUUGGCUAUUUCUCUGUAUAACAAAUGUGAGUCGGUAUUGGAAGCUAAUUUAUUGACACUGAUUAUUUCAAAGAACACUGAGUUGGGAAGCAUGUAUAUGAAGUAGCAAAGUAGAAUGGCUUGUUUUAUU